CUUAAGGAAUUGACGGGGAGCACCACAACGGGUGGAGCUUGCGGUUUAAUUGGAUUCAACGCCGGAAAUCUUACCGGGACCGACAGCAAUAUGAAGGCCAGGCUGAAGACUUUGCCGGAUUAGCUGAGAGGUGGUGCAUGGCCGUCGUCAGUUCGUACUGUGAAGCAUCCUGUUAAGUCAGGCAACGAGCGAGACCCACGCCCACAGUUGCCAGCGUACUCUCUGGAGUGACGGGUACACUGUGGGGACCGCCGCUGCUAAAGCGGAGGAAGGAAUGGGCAACGGUAGGUCAGUAUGCCCCGAAUAUCCCGGGCUACACGCGAGCUACAAUGGUUGGUACAAUGGGUAUCUACCCCGAAAGGGGACGGGAAUCUCCUAAACCAAUCUUAGUUCGGAUUGAGGGCUGCAACUCGCCCUCAUGAAGCUGGAAUCCGUAGUAAUCGCGUUUCAACAGAACGCGGUGAAUACGUCCCUGCUCCUU
rnacentral:rRNA from 1 species